UACGGGGGGGGCAAGCGUUGUUCGGAAUUACUGGGCGUAAAGGGCUCGUAGGUGGCCAACUAAGUCGGACGUGAAAUCCCUCAGCUUAACUGGGGAACUGCGUCCGAUACUGGAUGGCUUGAGUUUGGGAGAGGGAUGCGGAAUUCCAGGUGUAGCGGUGAAAUGCGUAGAUAUCUGAAGGAACACCGGUGGCGAAGGCGGCAUCCUGGACCAACACUGACACUGAGGAGCGAAAGCCAGGGGAGCAAACGGG
rnacentral:rRNA from 1 species